GGAAAACACCUGUAGAGGUGCAUGGUGCGUUUGUAGGGGCUUUCUUCAAAUCAUCUCCAUAUAAACUAUGAACAGGUUUCUGCGUCCCCUCCACUUCCCUAUCAGAGUACUGCUUUAUCGAUGAUAUGAGGACUUGGUAUGAAGCAGAAAACUACUGCAUCUCUCACUACACUGCAAUGGCCCAAAUACAAAACACAGAAGCCGUCAUGACGAUGAUGAACAGUGUAGUGUCGUUGGGAAAUGACAAGGCCUGGAUAGGACUGUAUGGGGGCGUUUCAGAAUGGAACUGGGUGGAUGGAAACCAGCCACAUUUGUCUUUUGGAACGUUGGUGAGCCAGAAAACGUUGAUGCCAAUGAGCUCUGUGUGACCAUGACUUUGGAUGGAUACUGGCACAAUGUCAACUGCUCAGCAACGAGACCAUGUCAAUUUGGGGGUGCUGAGUUCCGUGUUAGCACUGGAGAUGACUUGGAAUGAGUCCAAAACGUCCUGUGAAGAACAUGGUGGCAUUCUGGCUAUUAUCCCUAAUAAAGCUAUGAAUUCGGAGGUCAAGAUCAGAUUGUCAGAAUUUAGUGAAGCGUGGAUUGGCCUCAGUAGACACCAGAUGAACGUCUGGUAUUGGUCAGAAUCUGGAGUAAAUUACAUGUUCACAAACUGGCAAAAUGGACAACCUGAACGUAGCAGGGAGUUGUUCAGCUGCUGUGUUGUCAGAUGGAAGCUGGACUGAUGAGCCCUGCAACGCAACAUUCCCUUUCUUCUGCUACAGAGCACUUGCUAAUCAAGGUGUGACUGACUUUAAACUGACCUAGAAGAAACGGCCAGUGAAGCAGACCAGGCAGUCUAAUGACAAUAAAAGUGGUAAAGGAUUCCUAUUGGUGCUCUUGAGGUUUUGGAACAUUUUAAAAAGGACAACUGAAGACAUGAAAGGGGAUAGAGAAUGACAUGCAGCAAAG